UACGUAGGUGGCAAGCGUUGUCCGGAAUUAUUGGGCGUAAAGCGCGCGCAGGCGGUUAUGUAAGUCUGAUGUUAAAACCCGGGGCUCAACCUCGGCUCGCAUUGGAAACUGCGUAACUUGAGUGCAGAAGAGGAAAGUGGUAUUCCACGUGUAGCGGUGAAAUGCGUAGAUAUGUGGAGGAACACCAGUGGCGAAGGCGACUUUCUGGUCUGUAACUGACGCUGAGGAGCGAAAGCGUGGGGAGCAAACAGG
rnacentral:rRNA from 1 species